AUCUAUUUUAUUGAUUUAAUCAGUAAGUUCAAAUAACCACUACAACAUGUUCUUGCUUUUGUACAGUGUGUGUUGUUUCAGAAAGACAGAAGACUGGACAGCGUGGAGCAGCUUUUCACUAGCCUUUUUUGAUCACACAAGAGUGUAAGAUCACAGAAUGGAUGACCUGAGUGAUUUCCUGAAACAAAGGAAUAUUCCAGAGGAAACUAUCGAGACCAUGCUGAGAGAGAAGAUUGAUACCAACGUCAUCCAUGACAGAUGAAGAGUUAAAGAAUUAUUUGCCAUCAUAUGGAGACCGCAUAGCCCUGUUAGGAUACUGUAAAAGAAAGGAAAAUGGCCCCCCAAACAGUCGCAAAUCAAAACUGUUUGAGCGCUUGAAAUCAAAGCUGGGUAAAAGAAGAACUGCUCAUGAAGAUGGCUGUGGUAUGGACAAAGAAGAGCAAUCUGAAACAACUGUAAAGAAGAAUGCUCUGAAGUCAAAGAGAAAAAUAGAAAUAGGCUGGCUGCUUUAUGAUGAAGAACAACAGGCUUUUAAACAAGUAAGAGCAAGAAGAGGUGGUGGAACAAGGAAGGUCGAUGUAUCAAAGGAUGCUAAAAAAUGUGAGAUAAUCCAGAUGGCUCUUGGCCUUUUCUUUCCAAAUGGGAGAAAUAGAGAAGGGUCCAUAACAGAUUUUGAAAUAGAUCUGAAAGAUUAUCAGGAAGUGCCAAUUGAUGACAAAAUCUCUGUUGGACAAAUGUUUCAUGUUACAAAACUGACUAUUCUCAGGUUUUACCUGACCACACAUAAAAAGAAGGCUAACCAGUCAGUCAAGAUGAAGUUUUGUCUUCACCACUUUCUCAGGAUCAAGACAGUUCUCUGAAUCAGCCCUCCUCUUCA